rnacentral:rRNA from 1 species
UGGGGAAUAUUGGGCAAUGGGGCGAAAGCCUGACCCAGCAACGCCGCGUGAAGGAAGAAGGUUUUCGGAUUGUAAACUUCUUUAUCAGGGACGAAGAAAGUGACGGUACCUGAUGAAUAAGCCACGGCUAACUACGUGCCAGCAGCCGCGGUAAUACGUAGGUGGCGAGCGUUAUCCGGAAUUACUGGGUGUAAAGGGUGUGUAGGCGGGGAAGCAAGUCAGAUGUGAAAACCAAAGGCUCAACCUUUGGCUUGCAUUUGAAACUGUUUUCUUGAGAGUGGGAGAGGUAAACGGAAUUCCUAGUGUAGUAGUGAAAUGCGUAGAUAUUAGGAGGAACACCGGUGGCGAAGGCGGUUUACUGGACCACAACUGACGCUGAGACACGAAAGCGUGGGGAGCAAACAGGAUUAGAUACCCUGGUAGU